GUGUCCUUAUUGUGGCAAUAAAUACGUUUACUUUUCUUUUACUUUUCUUU
rnacentral:ribozyme from 1 species